rnacentral:tRNA from 1 species
GUGCUUGUGGCGGAAUUGGUAGACGCGCCGGAUUUAGGUUCCGGUGGGCAACCGUGGGGGUUCGAGUCCCUCCAGGCAUACCA